UACGAAGGGGGCUAGCGUUGCUCGGAAUCACUGGGCGUAAAGCGCACGUAGGCGGAUCAUUAAGUCGGGGGUGAAAUCCUGGAGCUCAACUCCAGAACUGCCUUCGAUACUGAAGAUCUCGAGUCCGGGAGAGGUGAGUGGAACUGCGAGUGUAGAGGUGAAAUUCGUAGAUAUUCGGAGGAACACCAGUGGCGAAGGCGGCUUACUGGUCCAUUACUGACGCUGAGGUGCGAAAGCGUGGGGAGCAAACAGG
rnacentral:rRNA from 1 species